UAUAGAAAAAAGCCAAGGAAACAAGUUU
rnacentral:piRNA from 1 species